CUUUCUCUAUUCAGCAAUUAGCAUCAUCCUUUAUAUGGCCUCCAAUUUGUGGAGUACACACGUUUGCACCUGUUAUAACCAUUUCCCACCUGAACUUGCUUUCACUUUUCAGGCUAGAAUCUAAUAGAGUAGAAUUUUACUUGAUUCAGAUACUGGAGCUAAAAGCAUAAAAUUGGUUGUACCCAGUAUGACUGCAAAAAAUCUCAUGUGCUUAACUAAUCACGAGUAUGCUGCAAAAUUAUCUUGGACAAAUGGUGGGACUAUUCUCAUCCUAAACGGAAAAGAAUACCGCAGUAGUAGCAUCUAUGGGGCAGGAGAUGUUGUUCUCAUCGAAGGCUAACUAGACUUGAAAAGAUGUACGAACUACAAUUAAAUGUGGAAGUAAUUAUUCCUUCACAUGAUAGAGAGAUAGAGAGA